rnacentral:lncRNA from 1 species
GUCCCUGUGCCGCUGGGUGCUGGCUGUGUACGACUGCUGUCGGUCUCAGCAGCACACGGAGCGGGGCCGCAGGCUGGAAGUCCAGGCGGCAGGGGCCCGACAGCGCCUCCAUCAGGCCAAGAGGCAGAAGGAGGACGCACUGAACCGUCUGAAAAAACUACGGCUGCAACUGCGCUCACUACAGGAGCAGCUGGACAAACAGAAGGCCGAGCUCCAGCGAGCAGAACACUGUCACCGACAGGCGGCCUGCACUCUGGCCGAGCUCGGACACUACACUUCAGUGUGGAAGGAGCACACACAGAAGGCCGCCCUGAUGUUGGAGGCCCUCCCCAAAGACGCCCUCCUCACAGCCGCCACCCUCUCCUAUUUGGGCCCGUUUGGAGCAGGUACCCGCUCUGAACUUGUGAUCAAGUGGUUCAGUGGUGGACCUGUGUCGACCCCCCUCCAGAACACUCUGGCCUGGGUGCUGGGUGUGGGUGAGAGGAGGCUCCGGGGGGUGGCCCUCUCCAGCCUGCUGCUGUCUCUGCUGCUCUGGGACUGCACCCGUGACCCUCAGGAACUAUGCCCCCUGCUGGUGGAUCCCCACCAUCGCUUAGACACCAACCCGACCUGCUGCUUCAUAGGAGAACAGACCCAGGCUCUGCUGGAGUUUGAGGUGCAGCUCACUGCAGAUGAUCCUGACCUUCUGGAGCGGCUGGAGCAGGCCAAGGUCACAGGGGCCCGAGUGCUGGUGCGAGAUGCAGAGAGGGCCCCGUCCUGCCCCCGGCUCCUGUCCCUGCUGUCCACACCGUCCCACAGGUGUCCCCCAGCCUCUGCCCGGUCUUCUACACCAUUGUCCCCGCACACCGACUGACUGCAGAGCUGCCGGGGCCCCUCCUGCGUCGGCUGCGUGUGGUGGACC